CACAGAAUGUCAACAGGGCUUUUUCCAGAUGAAUCUGAUAUAAAACCCCAAACCAAGCUUCUUUACCAACUACCAGCAUCUCUGACCUGCUCUUUCUCCAUAUUGUCGGACCUCCUUUGACCAAGUUCAGUUUGGUCCCUUAUGUGAGGUUGUGGGUGGCUAAACGAAACUGGACUGCUACUGAGUCACGUAUGAAGAGGAUGAGGAGAUGCACCUGGCCAUGGUUGGGAUAUACUAAACAACUAGUAAGCCUGAUCAUCACCAACAAGCCAGCAAGGUCUCUGUGGCGGCAUCCUGGUGAUGGCUGAUGAAUGUGGACAUGACAACGAUGCAGUUUGGAGUUACCUUGCAGGUAUUUGUUAGACCGGCUCAUGGUGCUGCGAACCAGUUUUUGCUUCCACGUCCAUACACAGAUCACCCGUUACUACAUGGAAUGUGGAACAAUGUGGACAACUGCUGUCGACAAGCCGUCCCAAAUCAUCUUCCAUCUGCCGCCUCCGAACCAGAGAGACGGGUUCAAAUACGUAUUGUUAAAGACAUGUGGAUCUCUUUGCUCUCAUGUGGCGUCUGAACUCUUUUUGGCAGGAAAAACGAUCCAUCAUCCUCGAGCCAUUCUGAGCGAUCGGGAUACAAGCAGCGAGAACUUACGGUGGAAUGGGAGAGUGGGUGGAGCGCGUGAGAGUGGGGUCUGCAGCUGAAUGAAAGUCUCUGCAGGAUGAGGCUAUACUGCAGAGCAGCAUGAAGUAAAAGUUGUUAUGAGUUGCUGUUUGAUGCCUGAUGCAGCAGCAGCUGAGACUGCAGAUACUGACAGUUCCACUUCAUAAAGGACGCCACUAAUCCCUGGCCUUGCUCUCUGGGACUGAAUUCAAACGUCUGCCCUGUGGACCUGCAGACUUUCAACUGUUAGCAGAAUAUGGUGGAAGGUUGCUUGUUGGACGCAUCAAAAUAAUUUAAACAGUCAUGUUUUAUUCUUGGCUUGAAAAGUCAACAUGUACAGAGCUGACCUUUUUCUUUAUUACUUUUGCAGCCCACUCAUACAGAGAAAAAAGUGCUCAAAGAAAAGCGUGAUGAAGGUUGCAGUGAAAUGAUGAUGUGAUGUGGUAUCUUUUAGGUGCAGCAGAUUCUGUGCAUGGAAGAACAUUUUUAUACGAAGCACUGAUGGCUGUACGGUUUGCUGUUAGAUACAACUCAAAGCUCUCGUGUGACCUGGUCUGUCCCUGUCCUGAUGAUACAGUAUGACACCAAAAUUAUAGUGGCCAACAAUUUUACAUCAGGACCAGAGAUUCAACAUUCAUCACAAAGAAGUUCUCUGGAAUUUCUCUCCUUUUGCUCUGCAGUAAGUCCCUUCACUGGUGGUUUCUUUCCUUUCUCUUUACAUUUCUUUGGUGAUACAUAUGUACCAAAGCUGGUUGACUAAGUUAGAAAAUUAGAUACCUGCAUAAGAUUAAGAAGCACAAUCCACUCCUCACGAGCCAUCUGUGUGUCACUUAGUGGCUGAAACAAUGGGCUCUUUUCACUGAGUCUACAUUGAUAUGUAAAUGUUUCCAGAAACAGAACAUGGCUGCAUGAUUCUCUGGAGACUGAGCUGCUUGAAUUGUUUUUCUCAGGCAAUAUCGAGCAAGAUUUCUUCCCUCCCAUGAGAGGGCAGAGGCUCACUUCUGCUCUGGCUUUAUCCGCUCUGCUCCAAGAGAACACGAGCAUGUUGUAACGGAUAAACAAUUAGGCAAAAUUUUGUUUAUUCUCAAUUUACUGCAGGCUGCUGGUUUUCAUAUGUUCAGUAAAAAUAUGCUUUGGGGAGGAGAAAGGUAGUAAAAUCUUUGAAUGAAACUCUUACUGGCUUAACAUUUUAUUGUUCACAGCACAAACUGCCUGGUAGGCAAAAGCUUCAUGAUCUCCUGAUCUUCACAUAUAUGAAAACUGUCCUUCCUUUUUAUGUGCAAUGCAUGAAUAAGAAAAGGAUACA